UACGGAGGGUGCAAGCGUUAUCCGGAUUUACUGGGUUUAAAGGGUGCGUAGGUGGGUAGGUAAGUCAGUGGUGAAAUCUUCGAGCUUAACUCGGAAACUGCCAUUGAUACUAUCUGUCUUGAAUACUUUGGAGGUAAGCGGAAUAUGUCAUGUAGCGGUGAAAUGCUUAGAUAUCUGGAGGAACACCGGUGGCGAAGGCGGCAUCCUGGACCGACACUGACGCUGAGGAGCGAAAGCCAGGGGAGCAAACGGG
rnacentral:rRNA from 1 species